rnacentral:rRNA from 1 species
UACGUAGGGUGCAAGCGUUAUCCGGAAUUAUUGGGCGUAAAGAGCUCGUAGGCGGUUUGUCGCGUCUGCUGUGAAAACUGGAGGCCUACACCUCAGCCUGCAGUGGGUACGGGCAGACUAGAGUGCGGUAGGGGAGAUUGGAAUUCCUGGUGUAGCGGUGGAAUGCGCAGAUAUCAGGAGGAACACCGGUGGCGAAGGCGGGUCUCUGGGCCGGAACUGACGCUGAGGAGCGAAAGCGUGGGGAGCGAACAGG